rnacentral:rRNA from 1 species
GACGAACGCUGGCGGCGUGCUUAACACAUGCAAGUCGAACGGAAAGGCUCCAGCUUGCUGGAGUGCUCGAGUGGCGAACGGGUGAGUAACACGUGGGCAAUCUGCCCUGCACUCUGGGAUAAGCCUGGGAAACUGGGUCUAAUACCGGAUAGGACCUUUCUCCUCAUGGGGUUUGGUGGAAAGUUUUUCGGUGCAGGAUGAGCCCGCGGCCUAUCAGCUUGUUGGUGGGGUAAUGGCCUACCAAGGCGACGACGGGUAGCCGGCCUGAGAGGGUGAUCGGCCACAUUGGGACUGAGAUACGGCCCAGACUCCUACGGGAGGCAGCAGUGGGGAAUAUUGCACAAUGGGCGAAAGCCGGAUGCAGCGACGCCGCGUGGGGGAUGACGGCCUUCGGGUUGUAAACCUCUUUCAGUAGGGACGAAGCGCAAGUGACGGUACCUGCAGAAGAAGCACCGGCUAACUACGU